rnacentral:rRNA from 1 species
GAUUCGUCACACUAUCAUUAACUGAAUCCAUAGGUUAAUGAGGCGAACCGGGGGAACUGAAACAUCUAAGUACCCCGAGGAAAAGAAAUCAACCGAGAUUCCCCCAGUAGCGGCGAGCGAACGGGGAGGAGCCCAGAGCCUGAAUCAGCAUGUGUGUUAGUGGAAGCGUCUGGAAAGGCGCGCGAUACAGGGUGACAGCCCCGUACACAAAAGCGCAUGUGCUGUGAGCUCGAUGAGUAGGGCGGGACACGUGGUAUCCUGUCUGAAUAUGGGGGGACCAUCCUCCAAGGCUAAAUACUCCUGACUGACCGAUAGUGAACCAGUACCGUGAGGGAAAGGCGAAAAGAACCCCGGCGAGGGGAGUGAAAAAGAACCUGAAACCGUGUACGUACAAGCAGUGGGAGCCCCACCACCAAAGCAUUCUCUGGUGUUGAAGGCCCUGCAAAGCAGCAUCGCGGUGGCGGAGCGUCGUUUGCGACGCCCAACACACAAAACAAGCGGUGAAUGCUUUGGGGUGGGGUGACUGCGUACCUUUUGUAUAAUGGGUCAGCGACUUAUAUUCUGUAGCAAGGUUAACCGAAUAGGGGAGCCGGAGGGAAACCGAGUCUUAAUUGGGCGUUAAGUUGCAGGGUAUAGACCCGAAACCCGGUGAUCUAGCCAUGGGCAGGUUGAAGGUUGGGUAACACUAACUGGAGGACCGAACCGACUAAUGUUGAAAAAUUAGCGGAUGACCUGUGGCUGGGGGUGAAAGGCCAAUCAAACCGGGAGAUAGCUGGUUCUCCCCGAAAGCUAUUUAGGUAGCGCCUCGUGAAUUCAUCUCCGGGGGUAGAGCACUGUUUCGGCUAGGGGGCCAUCCCGGCUUACCAACCCGAUGCAAACUGCGAAUACCGGAGAAUGUUAUCACGGGAGACACACGGCGGGUGCUAACGUCCGUCGUGAAGAGGGAAACAACCCAGACCGCCAGCUAAGGUCCCAAAGUCAUGGUUAAGUGGGAAACGAUGUGGGAAGGCCCAGACAGCCAGGAUGUUGGCUUAGAAGCAGCCAUCAUUUAAAGAAAGCGUAAUAGCUCACUGGUCGAGUCGGCCUGCGCGGAAGAUGUAACGGGGCUAAACCAUGCACCGAAGCUGCGGCAGCGAACGUAUCACCCAAGACAACUUUACGGAGUUGACGAUUGACGGAGCGAAGCGACGUCAAAGCGUUCAUUAAAGUCGAGUUGGCUUAGGGAUACGUUCGUUGGGUAGGGGAGCGUUCUGUAAGCCUGUGAAGGUGUGUCGUGAGGCAUGCUGGAGGUAUCAGAAGUGCGAAUGCUGACA